rnacentral:rRNA from 1 species
GACGAACGCUGGCGGCGUGCUUAACACAUGCAAGUCGAACGGAAAGGCCCUGCUUUUGUGGGGUGCUCGAGUGGCGAACGGGUGAGUAACACGUGAGUAACCUGCCCUUGACUUUGGGAUAACUUCAGGAAACUGGGGCUAAUACCGGAUAGGAGCUCCUGCUGCAUGGUGGGGGUUGGAAAGUUUCGGCGGUUGGGGAUGGACUCGCGGCUUAUCAGCUUGUUGGUGGGGUAGUGGCUUACCAAGGCUUUGACGGGUAGCCGGCCUGAGAGGGUGACCGGCCACAUUGGGACUGAGAUACGGCCCAGACUCCUACGGGAGGCAGCAGUGGGGAAUAUUGCACAAUGGGCGGAAGCCUGAUGCAGCAACGCCGCGUGCGGGAUGACGGCCUUCGGGUUGUAAACCGCUUUCGCCUGUGACGAAGCGUGAGUGACGGUAAUGGGUAAAGAAGCACCGGCUAACUACGUGCCAGCAGCCGCGGUGAUACGUAGGGUGCGAGUGUUGUCCGGAUUUAUUGGGCGUAAAGGGCUCGUAGGUGGUUGAUCGCGUCGGAAGUGUAAUCUUGGGGCUUAACCCUGAGCGUGCUUUCGAUACGGGUUGACUUGAGGAAGGUAGGGGAGAAUGGAAUUCCUGGUGGAGCGGUGGAAUGCGCAGAUAUCAGGAGGAACACCAGUGGCGAAGGCGGUUCUCUGGGCCUUUCCUGACGCUGAGGAGCGAAAGCGUGGGGAGCGAACAGGCUUAGAUACCCUGGUAGUCCACGCUGUAAACGGUGGGUACUAGGUGUGGGGUCCAUUCCACGGGUUCCGUGCCGUAGCUAACGCUUUAAGUACCCCGCCUGGGGAGUACGGCCGCAAGGCUAAAACUCAAAGGAAUUGACGGGGCCCCGCACAAGCGGCGGAGCAUGCGGAUUAAUUCGAUGCAACGCGUAGAACCUUACCUGGGUUUGACAUGGAUCGGGAGCGCUCAGAGAUGGGUGUGCCUCUUUUGGGGUCGGUUCACAGGUGGUGCAUGGCUGUCGUCAGCUCGUGUCGUGAGAUGUUGGGUUAAGUCCCGCAACGAGCGCAACCCUUGUUCACUGUUGCCAGCACGUUAUGGUGGGGACUCAGUGGAGACCGCCGGGGUCAACUCGGAGGAGGGUGGGGAUGACGUCAAGUCAUCAUGCCCCUUAUGUCCAGGGCUUCACGCAUGCUACAAUGGCUGGUACAGAGAGUGGCGAGCCUGUGAGGGUGAGCGAAUCUCGGAAAGCCGGUCUCAGUUCGGAUUGGGGUCUGCAACUCGACCUCAUGAAGUCGGAGUCGCUAGUAAUCGCAGAUCAGCAACGCUGCGGUGAAUACGUUCCCGGGGCU